GGCUCAGGAUGAACGCUAGCUACAGGCUUAACACAUGCAAGUCGAGGGGAAACGACAUCGAAAGCUUGCUUUUGAUGGGCGUCGACCGGCGCACGGGUGAGUAACGCGUAUCCAACCUGCCCACCACUUGGGGAUAACCUUGCGAAAGUGAGACUAAUACCCAAUGACGUCUCUAGAAGACAUCUGAAAGAGAUUAAAGAUUUAUCGGUGAUGGAUGGGGAUGCGUCUGAUUAGCUUGUUGGCGGGGUAACGGCCCACCAAGGCAACGAUCAGUAGGGGUUCUGAGAGGAAGGUCCCCCACAUUGGAACUGAGACACGGUCCAAACUCCUACGGGAGGCAGCAGUGAGGAAUAUUGGUCAAUGGACGAGAGUCUGAACCAGCCAAGUAGCGUGCAGGAAGACGGCCCUAUGGGUUGUAAACUGCUUUUAUAAGGGAAUAAAGUGAGUCUCGUGAGACUUUUUGCAUGUACCUUAUGAAUAAGGACCGGCUAAUUCCGUGCCAGCAGCCGCGGUAAUACGGAAGGUCCGGGCGUUAUCCGGAUUUAUUGGGUUUAAAGGGAGCGUAGGCCGGAGAUUAAGCGUGUUGUGAAAUGUAGAUGCUCAACAUCUGAACUGCAGCGCGAACUGGUUUCCUUGAGUACGCACAAAGUGGGCGGAAUUCGUGGUGUAGCGGUGAAAUGCUUAGAUAUCACGAAGAACUCCGAUUGCGAAGGCAGCUCACUGGAGCGCAACUGACGCUGAAGCUCGAAAGUGCGGGUAUCGAACAGGAUUAGAUACCCUGGUAGUCCGCACGGUAAACGAUAGAUGCCCGCUGUUGGUCUGAAUAGGUCAGCGGCCAAGCGAAAGCAUAA
rnacentral:rRNA from 1 species